UCACCAUCACCUUGAGAGAAAUGCAUGUCACCAGUGCUUAAGUUAGCUCCUUCCACAAACACUGGAAGAUAUAUUUUAGAGCCUCUGCUUAGGUUCUUUAUGUCACAGUUUCCUCCGUUUUCUCUUCCUGGGAUUGUUCUCGCAGCCUCCUUUGCAAUCCUUUCCCAUUCCGGUGUCCCCUCUUCCAUCUACAUUGAGUUCAAAGGUAAGUACACACUUGGAAAAAAAUUUCUCAUGGCAUCACCAAUAUAACUUACUUACGGCUUGGACGAAACUAAUAUUACAUGCUAUGCUAUGGUUUCAGCCCGAACCUCCUAAUAUUCCAAAAAAAAAAAAAAACUUACGUUCCCUAGGAGACAUCCUUUAGCUAUUGGUAGGUUUGCAAGUGGGCGUUGAUGCACAACCUCACAUAGUGUUAGGGAACUGAGACCACUUUCUUCUAAUUGUCUCUCCCUUUCAUUCCAUAUUCUCAAAAGUUCUUUUGAUGGUGCAGUGCCAAUGAUGCCUGGGUGUGUCAAACCUGGAAACCUUACUCCUGCCAAAACGUUAUGUGUAUAAUCAUUGGACUCAUAACAAGGAACAGCUAGUAAUGUACAUGGAUGCAAUUGUGUCUUUACCAGGAAUCUGAGGAGAGUAGGCAUAGAUCCCUUCAAAGUACCAAAUAGCUUUGGUGGCACAAGGGAAAUGAUCAGUCAAGAAACCGCCACCGUUCUCUCUAUCAAACGAAGCUGUGAAGCCCCACUCAUCUCCUGGUAAUGGACCUAAGUUGCAUAUCUCAACAGCAAGAAGAUCACCUGGCUUUGCUGCAACACCUUCCUCAUCCACAACUUUGAUCGGUCCACUUAGGUAAUGAACCUGCACACACAAUCACCAAUAAACUUUUUAUCUAUAUGCAAGGUCUACUUAUGUUUCUCCCUUAAAACUUCCUUACAGUGGAGAGGUCUAAGCUCUUAAUAUCCUCAGCAGAGUCAUCAUCUUUGACUGCACCUCCAGUCCAGUCAACCAUUUCCACUCUAAAGAACUCACCAGCCUUGACCUCACCAACUGGUUGUAUCUCAGGAUGCCAUCUGUUAUGCAGAGGCUGUUCCUGCUCCCAUGGCCUCUUCUUCAAAUCCACUUUCACCACCACUCUCGGAGUUGCAGGAGCCAUUAAAACCGAUUACAGUAAGUACAGCAACUUCUAUUCUCUCUUUUCUUUUUUCUCUUGUAAUGGGAAGAGAGGAAUCAUUGGUUUGGCAGAUUCCUUAUCCACAAACUAAAGGACAAUAGACUUUUCUUUAUGGCCUUUAACUUUCUUUCAUCUUUGUGUAUGUGUGGCAAUGCAUCGAUCACAAUAAGUUGAAAAUGACAUUUUGUUGACUUAUGUAAUAAAGAGGGUCUUAUGUUAUAUGAUCAUAUCCAUCGUGACUGAGGAAUCUAUUAGUCUAUUUUGUUUCAGAAUCUGAUGCAUUCACUCUGAAAAUAGUGCAUAUAUAAAGAUUACAUAUACAUUUUAUUACUUGAGUUUAGUUUCCAACUUCCAACUAAGGAAAACCACAUUUGGUCUCUUUAUUUCAAAACAUACGGUUAAUUAAACAUGACAGACACAUUUCAUUAGCUAUGUUGAACAGCUUGGAUUCUUUGUAAUCGGAAGCUUUCCAUCAUAUGUGCUCUUCAGUACGUCCGGUUUCCUCACUAUCCGCGGUCCUGAUGGAACCUUCCGAGUCUUUGGCCUAAUGUCCUGCGUGAACAUACCAAAGCAUUUAAAAUAUUUUUCUAUCUUUCUCUUGUUAAUUAACUGAGGGACGCACAGUUUCAAACCUGAUCAAAGAUGGCAAUAGGUAUUGCUAGUGUAGCAACAGCAUUGGGAGAAUCAACAAUCCCAGAGAUUCUUCCUUCACAUGGACAACAUGAGAGCAACAGGUACGCCUGUUCACACCAUAUUCUCUUUUGAUCAGUUUCUAGCUUUUACUUCAUUAAUGUAUUAUUUAAUUAUGAUUAACCAUUACCUGUUCUUUUGAGUAACCAAAUUUGUUGAGAUAAUCUAUGGCGUUAAGAACCGCCCGUUUGUAAGCAACUGUUGCAUCAAGAUAGUGCUGUCUCCCGCUCUCAUCGACACUGAUACCCUCAAAGACAAGCCACUCCGAGAAUCUCGGUUCCACUGGUCCUAUCUCAAAGAUUGGGUUCACAUGGAGAGGAGUAGGUCCCAUUGGUGUAAGGUACUCUUUCAUCCCAUUCCUUAUGAUUUCACACCUAUUUCAUGAGUUUGAAAAAAACGUUACACAAUAACAAUAGUAUCAAAAUGUUUGGAAGAACUUGCAAAAGUAGAAACUUAUGUUACAUACUUGAGUUCUAGAAACCCAUUCAUCUCAAUGGCUCCACAGAAGGAGAUCUCACCAUCACCUUGAGAGAAAUGCAUAUCGCCAGUGCUUAGAUUAGCACCUUCCACAAACACAGGUAGAUAUAUCUUAGAGCCUGUGCUUAAGUUUUUAAUAUCACAGUUUCCUCCGUUUUCUCUUCCAGGUAAUGUCCUUGCAGCUUCAUUUGCAAUCCUUUCCCAUUCAGGUGCUUCCUUCUCAAUCUACAAAAGAGUUGUUGUAAUAAGAGUUCCUUAGAGGUCUGAGUUAAGUACUUUGGCCAUGUUUGUUUGUAAGUAGCAGCGGCUUGCAACUGGCUGAAGGUUGUUGAUUGUUCUUUUUUCGUGUUGUAGGUUGUUAUUAAUUUUAAGUAGCUGAAUAAAUUAGCGACUUAAAAAUAAACUUUUCCGCGAUCUGCGACUGGUAAACUACAAGGCCUUGUCGCAGCGACUUGCAAACGAACAUGGCCUUUGUCAUUGAAAAUACAAGGCUAACUACCACUUACGUGCCCUAGGAGGCAUCCUUUAGCCUUUG
rnacentral:lncRNA from 1 species